ACCCCCCGAAACUAAGCGAGCUACUCUAAAACAGCCCACAGAGCCAACCCAUCCCUGUUACAAAAGGGUGGAAAGAUUUUAAAGUAGAGGUGACACACCAAUCGAGCCUAGAGAUAGCUGGUUAUUCAAAAGACGGAUCUAAGUCCAACUUUAAGCUUCUAUAAGUGGCACAAACAACCCACAAACUUAAAAGCCAUUCAAAUAAGGUACAGCCUAUUUGAACAAGGAGACAACCUAUGACACAGGGUAACGACCACCACACGUGACUAAGUAGGCCUAAAAGCAGCCAACUUCUAAAGGGCGUCCAAGCCUUACCACACCCACUAUCAAUUUCUCUAUCCACCCACAACCCACAACCAAUAAUGAAUGACCCCAUACCCGUAUGGAAGACACCAUGCUAGAACUAGUAACAAGAAGACGAACUUCUCCAAAAUGCAAACAUAGGCCAAAAUGAACCCUCACCGGCACUUACCGCACCACAACAUAGUACCAACUGCACAAGAAUACCCUACUACAUUAAACGUCAACCUUACACAAGA
rnacentral:rRNA from 1 species